GCAAAGCAUUCAACUCUCUCUUCUCUCUCUCGAACGCACAAGUCCACAAGAGGAAAGCCAACCCAAAUAAACCAAAACCACUGGAUCUACGCCUUUGAAUCUCCCCGUCCAGCGAGCUCUUUUGAAGCCUGGAAACUUCUGGUUCGAUCGCUUUAGCAUGCAAAGACACUAGAAGUUCAAAGGCCUGCUUUCCAACGAGAGGAUUGAUGCUCACUUGAUAAUGCAUAUUUUAUGGAACUAUGUCGUUGCAGCUGACAAAUUGGAAGUUGAAGAAUUUUGAGAUGUUUGAAUUUGUAGUGUAAUCUAUUUGGCACUGGGUUAUAUCCAAACUUGGUAUUUUGCUGUUUGUAGUGGUUUGAGAAUUAUUGUAUCCAACCUUGGUGUAAUUAUUUUGAUUUUAAGAAUAGAUGGAUGUGAAUGCAUAGGCGAAUUAUGGGUUACAGAUGAGUUGGAGAUUUAUUUUCCAAUUGAUUGUAGUUUUGAAUGUUAGAGUUGAUGGAUGUAAUUUUUCUUGUACACGUUGUGGAUUACUUCUACAAAUUUGAUGAAUGUAAUUUUUCUUGUA